rnacentral:misc_RNA from 1 species
CGUGUACGUUCGUUCUCUGUCUCUAGAUUUUCUCGCCGCCAUGGAUGACGAUCGCGCACAUCACGCACAAACUGCCGCCGCCGGACCGAGACCUCGACUGGCCACCACCGCACCGAACGCUGUCGUGGAGGAGCAGGCCCCGUGCCCAACGCCGUCCGCCAGGCACGCCCCCGCCACGCCGUCCACCAGGCUCGUCCUCGCCGCGCUGUUGCCUGGACUGGCCACCGCGGGGCUGGCUGAGGACGCGCUGGCCAGGGCCACGCCGACCGCCGCGCUCCGCGAGGAGGUGCUGGCCGAGGCGUCGUCCGCCGCAAUCGCCCACGCCGCUUAUGCUGGUGCUCCAUUUCGUCGGUGAGCUGCUUACAGUAGCACUUUGUAUGCGUAUGACGUAUGAUACAGUAUGGGCAAUAGCAUUAGCUGCAGAGAAGGCCGGAUAUGUUAAUUUUUUGUGCUAUCUGAAACAAACGAUGGUUCCACUGAUUUCAACAAAAUAAGUACUUCUAGGGC